GUGCGGCAGCGGCUGCGGAGGAUGCAAGAUGUACCCGGAGAUGGCUGAGGAGGUGACCACUACCCAGACUGUCAUCAUGGGUGUUGCACCUUCCAAGGGUCAUGCCGAGGGGUUGGAGGCCGGCGCCGCCGCCGGAGCAGGAGCAGAGAACGGGUGCAAGUGCGGCGACAACUGCACCUGCAACCCCUGCAACUGCGGCAAGUGAAGCAAGCAACCUCCUGACGAAACCAAGGAGAUGGAAGGGCCUAGUACUGCUAAGCUAGUAGUUUGAUCCAGUUACAAGUGAUGAGUUAUUGUCACUGUAACUUUGUGUUUCCUGAGUUUGUGAUCUAAGACCUGAGACUGAAGAAAUGC
rnacentral:misc_RNA from 1 species